UACGUAGGGGGCAAGCGUUGUCCGGAAUCAUUGGGCGUAAAGAGCGUGUAGGCGGCUCGGUAAGUCCGCUGUGAAAGUCCAGGGCUCAACCCUGGAAUGCCGGUGGAAACUGUCGAGCUAGAGUCCGGAAGAGGCGAGUGGAAUUCCUGGUGUAGCGGUGAAAUGCGCAGAUAUCAGGAGGAACACCAAUGGCGAAGGCUGCUUCUUGGCUCAUUGCUGACGCUGAGGCGCGAAAGCGUGGGGAGCAAACAGG
rnacentral:rRNA from 1 species